rnacentral:misc_RNA from 1 species
GAUGAAGAACGUAGCGAAAUGCGAUAAGUAAUGUGAAUUGCAGAAUUCAGUGAAUCAUCGAAUCUUUGAACGCACAUUGCGCCCUUUGGCAUUCCGAAGGGCACACCUGUCCGAGCGCCGUCGCACAACUGAGGCGCAGCCUUGCGUUGGCGGGCGACUUGUGAGUAGCGAGUCGCCGCCCAAACGAGACGGCGCCGCCCCGCGGCCGACGAAGCACGAAAGCGGAAGUCGACGCGGAGGCGGUUGCCUGUAGGAAGACACAGCUUGGCCUCGGAUCAGGUGGGGAUACCCGCUGAACUUAAGCAUAUCAAUAAGCGGAGGA